GAUGACGGGAAAAUAUAUGCAAUGGAAAUUGGCCUGUUAACGUUGGAGUUUGGGAGAGAGAUUGAGAGGAUCACUGGCCGGAGGAUUGUUUUCACUAGGAGAGGUGCAUUGUUUAACGCCGUGGGGAGUGAUGGAGAUGGACACGACCGUGGCGGUUUGCCGGGGGUGUGCGGGAUGCCGGCGGUGGGUGGUGAUUUGCAGGAGGACAUUGAGUAUAUCGGUUGCACAGCGGGGUCUUUGGGUGUGGGAGUGAAGGAGCAUAGGAGGGACAUGGCCGGCUUGGCACCUAGUACGGCUCUGGC
rnacentral:lncRNA from 1 species